rnacentral:rRNA from 1 species
GACGAACUCUGGCGGCGUGCCUAAUACAUGCAAGUAGAACGAGUGGCGGACGGGUGAGUAAUGUCUGGGACACUGCCCGAUGGAGGGGGAUAACUACUGGCAACGGUAGCUAAUACCGCAUACCCUCGGAUGUGCCCAGAUGGGAUUGGCUAGUAGGUGGGGUAACGGCUCACCUAGGCUACGAUCCCUAGCUGGUCUGAGAGGAUGACCAGCCACACUGAAACUGAGACACGGGCAAGACUCCUACGGGAGGCAGAAGUGGGGAAUAGUGCACAAGGGGCGCAAGCCUGAUGAAGCCAUGCCGCGUGUAUGAAGAAGGCCUUCGGGUUGUAAAGUACUUUCAGCGAGGAGGCGUUACCCGCAGAAGAAGCACCGGCUAACGCCGUGCCAGCAGCCGCGGUAAUAC